CUUUUACUUUCACAGAGUCUUACACGCUUGUCUUGUACUGUAUAGAGAUGUUGUGAUUAAUGCCACUCCUCAUAACUCACCAUACGAAAAAGAAAAUGUGCAGCCAUGGUACUCCUUUUUUCAGGAUGCCGUAGGAGCAAUCGAUGGUACACAUAUAGCUGCGUAUGUGUCUUUAGAGGAGCAAGGUAAAUAUCGCAAUAGAAAGCAAGUGAUUUCCCAAAAUGUUUUAGUAGCUUGCACAUUUGAUAUGAAAUUUACAUACGUUCUUGCCAGUUGGGAGGGAUCCGCACAUGAUGGUCGAUUGUACGGAGUGCAAUAUUACGCCAAGGACAUAAGCUAACAAUUCCUGUUGGUAAAUAUUACCUUGUUGACGCUGGCUUCCCAUCGGUUUCGGGUUUUCUUGCACCAUACCGUAGGACUCAUUAUCAUCGUAGAGACAUUGAAGGUCAACGUCCUGAAAGUAGUAAGGAGUUGUUCAAUUUUUGACAUUCAUCUCUACGUAAUUGAGCAUACAAUUGGUUUGCUGAAAAGAAGAUUUGCAUAUUUGAGACAUCAACCCUAUCACGACAUUGACACACAAGCAAAGAUAGUCCUUGCCUGUUCUACCAUUCACAACUUCUUAAGGAUUGAUGACGUUGAAGAUGUUUGUGAGGAAAAUGACUUAGAUAGUAGUGAUGAUGAGGUUAACCCUACGCAUGUUGAUGUACCUGAAGAUAAAACUCCAAAUGCUCACAUAUCUUUCACAAAUCAGGAAGUGUGGUCUAAUAAGAGGAAUGCGAUUGCUGAU